rnacentral:sRNA from 1 species
UGGCGCCGCGACCAGUGUAUCGGGGGUCUUGGAAAUGGCUAAGAAAGCUGGCCUCUGCCUAGGAGGCUCUCGGCAGGGGUCUGCCAAUCCCGGGAUGGUUACCGGAAAUGAACCGCGCGAUCUGGCCCCUUCACACCCACUUAGCUUUGUAGGGGAAAAAGAACAGCAAGAAGCGAUUGAACACAUUGAUGAAGUACAAAAUGAAAUAGACAGACUUAAUGAACAAGCCAGUGAGGAGAUUUUGAAAGUAGAACAGAAAUAUAACAAACUCCGCCAACCAUUUUUUCAGAAGAGGUCAGAAUUGAUCGCCAAAAUCCCGAAUUUUUGGGUAACAACAUUUGUCAACCAUCCACAAGUGUCUGCACUGCUUGGGGAGGAAGACGAAGAGGCACUGCAUUAUUUGACCAGAGUUGAAGUGACAGAAUUUGAAGAUAUUAAAUCAGGUUACAGAAUAGAUUUUUAUUUUGAUGAAAAUCCUUACUUUGAAAAUAAAGUUCUCUCCAAAGAAU